GAGAUCCACAGCUGGGAGAAGUUUAAAGACUGCUGCACUGUGGGAAUGGAAUGACUUUGUCUUUGAGAGCUCACCUGACUUCAUUGCUCAUACAUGUAAGAAGAAUACUCAGACUGGGAAACCACUCUUCUUUUUGUACUCUAUCCUCACAAUGUAGUGAUGCUCAUAGCAGUGACUACACAGAGCCAAGGACUUU